rnacentral:lncRNA from 1 species
GCAUGAUCUGAGUGAACAAGAGAGAGCGAGAGAUGUCUCCAAUAACAAUGCCUGCAACUCCCACCACCUGGGCUUCAAAACAGGAGGCACACAUGACAUCACUUCCUUCCUCACCUGUAGCAAGAGCAGCUGUGUCCAUACCAAAAACACUAUCAGUGAAACAAAUCCACUACUACCUCUCCCUACCUGAAGUGGAGAUUACGGAAUUCAGGGAGAGCAAACAACAAGAAUGUGACACUGUCCGGACGCUGGUGGAAGAGUUGAGGCUUUUCCAGGAGGAGAGCCGUGCUUUAAUAUUAACAGUUAAAACAGAAGUUAAGACAGAACACUGAACAAAUGAUGUCCUCCAAGAGGAGCUGUGUGUAGUGAAGGUGGAGCUGAAGCAGAGAGAGAGAGAGGGACAUGAUGUCCUCCAAGAGGAGCUGUGUGUAGUGAAGGUGGAGCUGAAGCAGAGAGAGAGAGGGACAUGAUGUCCUCCGAGAGGAGCUGUGUGUAGUGA